GGGCGAAUGGCGGAAUUGGUAUACGCGCUAGUCUUAGGAACUAGUGGGUUUAUCCCGUGAGAGUUCGAGUCUCUCUUCGCCCACCA
rnacentral:tRNA from 2 species